rnacentral:rRNA from 1 species
CCCUUAGAGUUUGAUCCUGGCUCAGAUUGAACGCUGGCGGCAUGCUUUACACAUGCAAGUCGAACGGCAGCGCGGGGAGCUUGCUCCCUGGCGGCGAGUGGCGCACGGGUGAGUAAUACAUCGGAACGUGUCUUCUAGUGGGGGAUAACUGCCCGAAAGGGCAGCUAAUACCGCAUGAGACCUGAGGGUGAAAGCGGGGGAUCGCAAGACCUCGCGCUGGAAGAGCGGCCGAUGUCCGAUUAGCUAGUUGGUGAGGUAAAGGCUCACCAAGGCGACGAUCGGUAGCUGGUCUGAGAGGACGACCAGCCACACUGGGACUGAGACACGGCCCAGACUCCUACGGGAGGCAGCAGUGGGGAAUUUUGGACAAUGGGGGCAACCCUGAUCCAGCCAUGCCGCGUGCAGGAUGAAGGUCUUCGGAUUGUAAACUGCUUUUGUCAGGGACGAAAAGGGAUGCGAUAACACCGCAUUCCGCAGACGGUACCUGAAGAAUAAGCACCGGCUA